AUGAAUAGCAAAGAAAAUAGUUGCUUGAGAUUGUAUAUUUCAUUUUCCCACUGCGCAUAUGGAGACACUGCAAACCUGAGUCCAUGGCCAGAGAACAAAUCACUGUCAGUCACCUCUUUCCACAGGAGACAGUUUGUGUUUGCCUUGGUUGGUGGUUUCAGGUGUACCCAAGAUUUUCAAAGCAAUUGGAGAGCAUACAGGUGGAACCAUUAAGUUCUCCUUAAUCUCAUGACAAAAUCCAAAACAGGAAGAUGACCCCUAUAUUCUCAAAUACUCACUGUAUGAUUUACAUGAGGAGAUGGAUGAAGAGUGGACACAGCUCACCUUGCAACUGGAGCCUGUAUUAAAACAGUUAAUGAACUGCACAAAGAGAAGCAAACCAAGCAAGCUCUGUGUAAAGGGCUAAUACAUUCUUUCUGCAUUAUAAAUAUUUGUGUUUAUGAAGAUUAAUGGACUGAAACAUUUUAGAGUGAAGUCCGUUGUUUAUCCACGAGCUGCAAACACCAGAGAUAGCUACAGUGUGAGUUUCCCCACACUGUCCUGUUAAUGACCUCAACUCUAACCUUGGAAGUCCUCUCGAGGGAAAAGGGGAAAUUUAGUCCAGAUCAUUUAUGGCCAUUUCCUGUGCAGAGCCAUGCAAGACACUUAUUGCUGACUUUGUAAUGUGAGCUACUGGCAACUGCAUGAUCACAAAAUUCUUAGCGCUUGAGGCCUUAAACCUACUAGAUGUUGUAAAGUUAAAAGUUCAGAAGUCUUCACAAUAAAAGGUUUGCACCAGUGCA
rnacentral:lncRNA from 1 species